AGUAGUUUAUCCCCUUUGUUUUGUUCUAGAUUAUUUCCUUAAUAUAUUUGUAUCUUUACAGGAUGGGGAGAAGAGCUUGAUAACAUGCAUUCAUUCUGUAUGAAGUAUGAGGCUGCAGAGAAACAGGACUAUUAUAGUACAGUUUCAAAAAGAUAUCUUUAGUGGCUGGCAUGCAGUUAUUCCCUAAAUAGCUGCUGAAUUGAGUGAGAUUAGCCAUUGCAAAAGAGGAGCUCUAAAUAUUUGAGCAGUGGCUGCCUUGCUGGAAUAAGCAUGUACCCCAAGGAGAUAGCUUUGAUAUCUGUCUGACACCAGGUCCUUCGCACUUGGUGCAGAUUUAUAUAUAUAGAUAUUAGAAACAGGGUCUUGCUUCGUUGCCCAGGCUGCUCUCAAACUCAGCCCAAGCAGUCCUCCCACCUCGGCCUCCCACAGUGCUGGGAUUACAGGUGUGAGCCACCGUGCCCAACCAUGGCUUUAUAUAAUAGCUUUUGCUACGUUUCUGGGCACGUGACCUGCUUGUGUCGUCUUCGAUGGUAAGGCUGAGGUCUUCCAGUGUGUGAAGCGCUUCCUCGGAGCAGGUGCUCAAUCAGGUUUGUGGUUUUGGUGAAUGUCAUGCUGAUCCCUCCCUGUCACCCCUCCAGCAUCAUCAUGGACACAGCCAUUAUGCCUCUGAGACACUUCCCUCCAAGAAGGACCAGGAGGAGGGGGUAAUGGAGAAGCUGCAGAAUGGGGACCUGGACCACAUGAUUCCUCAGCACUGCAACAGUGAGCUGGACGGCAAGGCGCCCGUGGUGGACGAAAAGGUCAUUGUGGGCUCGCUCUCUGUGCAGGACCUGCAGGCUUCCCAGAGUGCUUGCUACUGGCUGAAAGGUGUCCGCUACUCUGACAUCGGCACUCUGGCCUGGAUGAUCACUCUGAGCGACGGCCUCCACAAUUUCAUCGACGGCCUGGCCAUCGGUGCUUCCUUCACUGUGUCGGUUUUCCAAGGCAUCAGCACCUCAGUGGCCAUCCUCUGUGAGGAGUUCCCACAUGAGCUGGGAGACUUUGUCAUCCUGCUCAACGCUGGGAUGAGCAUCCAACAGGCU
rnacentral:sRNA from 1 species